rnacentral:ribozyme from 1 species
AGCUUAUUACCAAAAGGAAUGAUGUAAACUCACCACACACACAAAAUUCAAAAAAAAAAAAGAAACAAAGAAACAACCAAAAGCAAGACUCACAAACACGAAACCGAGAGACCAAACUGUCACAUAUG